ACUGCCGCCGGACGGAACCGGUCACGAGGGUUGGGGAGCCCGAUGACUGGCAGGUCUCCGAGUCUGGAACGGGUCUUAGGGAGCCCGGACCGGACGUUCUGGUGAAGGAG
rfam:Actinomyces sp. oral taxon 175 str. F0384 Contig63, whole genome shotgun sequence.